GGAGGGUGCAAGCGUUAUUCGGAAUUACUGGGCGUAAAGCGCACGUAGGCGGCCUUGUAAGUCAGGGGUGAAAUCCCACGGCUCAACCGUGGAACUGCCUUUGAAACUGCAGGGCUUGAAUCCUGGAGAGGGUGGCGGAAUUCCUGGUGUAGGAGUGAAAUCCGUAGAUAUCAGGAGGAACACCGGUGGCGAAGGCGGCCACCUGGACAGGCAUUGACGCUGAGGUGCGAAAGUGUGGGGAGCAAACAGGAUUAGAUACCCUGGUAGUCCACACCGUAAACGAUGGAUACUAGGUGUCGGGGACUUGAUCUUCGGUGCCGUASUAACGCGUUAAGUA
rnacentral:rRNA from 1 species